ACCGGCGCACGGGUGCGUAACGCGUAUGCAACCUGCCCCGUACUUGGGCAUAGCCUUUCGAAAGAGAGAUUAACACCCGAUGGUCUAAUUUGGCGACAUCGCCGAUUUAGUAAAGGUUACGGUACGGGAUGGGCAUGCGUCCGAUUAGCUAGUUGGCGGGGUAACGGCCCACCAAGGCGACGAUCGGUAGGGGUUCUGAGAGGAUGGUCCCCCACACUGGCACUGAGAUACGGGCCAG
rnacentral:rRNA from 1 species